UUGUUACUCCCUCCGUCCGGAAAUACUUGUCAUUGAAAUGGAUGUAUCUAGAUGUAUUUUAGUUCUAGAUACAUCAAUUUUCAUCCAUUUUGAUGACAAGUAAUUCCGGACGGAGGGAGUACUUC
rnacentral:pre_miRNA from 1 species